AACCGAGGUCCAUGUCAUGUCCUUGACUGGAAUCGAUCCCGGGACCCUCAGUCCUCUGGGCAACGCUCUAGCCACUGAGCCAAACCAGGGAGGGCUCAUCUUCUUUCCGUCCCACAGAUGGCUUGGCAGUGGGAUCGGCUCAGAGCAGAAUUACCCGCCCACCCCAGGGGGCUGCCGGCUCAGGUAGAAAGAUUCUCUGCUCCAGGCGGCAGAGCAAACCAAUUACAGUUUGUGUGUUUAGCAUUUUGCACUCAAAACACUGAGGGAGGAAAGGUCAUCUUCUGAAAUGAGGCGCAUCUUGUUGGCUGAUGCUGCUUAAGUUUUUCUUUGGAGGCAGGGCCUGGUCAGGGCGGCCAGAGCUCGUGUGAAAAGGCCAGUGAUGGAGGCCCGAGGUGAUGCCUCCUCACCUGGAAUGCCCUCUCUGCCAGUUCUCACCGGCCCUGCGUUACUCACGGCCGCCGAGAGCGGCAACCGGCAAGCGUGUGUUUUUAGCUCAUGACUCAAGGCUGACUCAACACUGGGGACCGGGCUUUCCGUGGCCCCGAGCUGGGCUCCUGCUUCCUGGAAACGCCCGAGUUGUUUGCGGAGUCCUUCGACGGGGCCCAGGGAGCAGAACCAUCUGGUGGGAGGUCGUGCCAACCUCCAGGAAGGCAGGCCCCCUCUCCCCCUGGCCACCUGCAGGGCUCAGCGAGGCUGUCCUGGGCGCUCCUGGUGGCAUGAAGACACCCUCGCCUUUGAAGCUGAGCCCACCCUCCUCAGGACAGAGGGGGUUUCUGGGUGCAUCUGCAGGGCUUCUGGACGGGCCAGGGGAUCGGAUCCGGAAGAUUUGCUGGGCGGGGGAGGGGCUGUGUCAGACCUCCUGGCCGGGCUUCCGGGCGAUGGUGGGUCGUUCAUCCCUGUUUGUGGGGCCAUCUUGCUGGUGGUGCCUCUCCCCACCCGGCCGCCCCUGUGCUGGCCGCCCGGCCGGCCUGGCGGGAAGUGCAGACACUGAGCUGUGAAGGAGAGGGUUUGACUUGGCCUAACUCUGCGCUCCCAGACUUGUCUGACCCUGGAGAGCCUUGUCUUGUCUUUUCCUUUGCGUUGCCUUCUCUUCUCUCCCGUUCCCUUUCCUUCUUUGCUUUCUGGCCUCUCUCCGAUCUCUGUCUCCCACGUUGUCUGGGCUGCCCCCUCUGCCCGUACUCCCCCCUUCCCCCCCCCAGGAGCAGCAAAGACCAGACUCUUUGGGAAACAGGCCCCUGAGAGGCUGAGGGGUAACCUCUCAGGUCCACUCUGAACGCACAUUGGUCGGGGGCUGCUCUGGGCCUGGUGCUGGGUGGGGCUCUCCCCGUCCCUCAUGGCCACCCGCAUGGGGGGAUGUCAUUGUCCCCUGUCACCAGCGAGCGCACAGAGGCUCCAAAAGCCCGUGGAGAGCGGUGAGUGCACAUAUGCAGACGCUGGUGGGCUGCCUCGCCUGGUGCCCAGCACCCCCCCGCCCCGCGCCUCUCAUGUGACCAUAGACACUUUAUUGGGUGAUUGGUUUGUUUACUUAUGUGUUUAUUUAUUCAAUCCUCCCUCGAGAACAUGCCUUUUUAUUGACUCUGUAGGCAGAGGAAGGGAGGGUGAGAGAGAAACAUCGAUGUGAGAGAGGAGCAUCCAUCAGUUGCCUCCCCAUGUGCCCACAAGCCAGGUGUGUGUCCUGACUGGGACUCGAACCGCAACCUUUUGGUGCACAGGACGAAGCUCCAACCAACUUAGUCACCCAGCCAGGACACCGUGGACACUGUCAAUGUGUAAGGUUGGACUUCGGGUCAGCGGCUGUGGCACCUUUGACAUUCCGCUUGACCACUUGGCAGCUCAGUGGGUGCAGAGCCCUGCCCUGCUGCGUGAGGACAGGUGAGAGGAGGCCCCACCGUCACCUCCGCACAGGUGAGCCGGUGGCGAGAACGCUAAGUCCAGCCGUGGCCUCCAGGUCUUGUCCUGAGAGCUGUUCCCAGCGGUCAGAGUGACAUAUGGCUCCCUGACACAGUGGCCAUGGCGAUGCUUUUUAACAGAUUUGAGUGCAAGGACAACAUCCGCUCCUUCGAGAUACCUGAGGUGGACUCUGAGGCUGAGGGACGAUUCUUGGGCCGAGGUUCUGUUUCGAUGAAACCUCCCUCCCAGGGUCUGCACGAUCUCUUACUGAGCAGUGACGAUGCACGUCUGGAUGGGCAGCAGAACUAAAAGACUGUCUUUUAUCUCCUCCUCUCCUUCACUUUCUUUCCUCCCUUCCCUGCCCAUCUUCCUGCGGCCUCCCCUCCCGGCCUCAGUUAGCAGGGGGAGGGCUGCUUGGUCCAGGGUGCUGCUGUGGGUGGUCCUGACGGCUGAGAGCAUCUUCUCUCUGCAUCUCUGGCUCUGGGCUCUGGGCUGCUGACUUAAGUGGGAAAAUCUUCUUUGCAGAUUUCAAAGCCUUGGAGACUCAACUGUUGAUGGUGAAUUAAAAAGAAAG